CCCAAACCUGACUCUGCAGCUGGGAGAGGAGCCCCAGCACCAGGAUUCCCAGGUGUUCCAGUCAGUACUCAGGACAGGAUACAGACAACUCACCAUGGAGUUUGUGCUUGGCUGGGUUUUCCUUGUUGCUCUUUUAAAAGGUGUCCAGUGUGAGGUGCAGCUGGUGGAAUCUGGGGGAGACCUGGUGAAGCCUGGGGGUUCCCUGAGACUCUCCUGUGCAGCCUCUGGAUUUACCUUCAGUAACUAUGGCAUGAGCUGGGUCCGCCAGGCUCCAGGGAAGGGGCUGCAGUGGGUCGCAUAUAUUAGCUAUAAUGGAGGUAGCACAUACUAUGCAGACUCUGUGAAGGGCCGAUUCACCAUCUCCAGAGACAACGGCAAGAACACGCUGUAUCUGCAGAUGAACAGCCUGAGAACCGAGGACACGGCCCUGUAUUAUUGUGCAACAGACACA